GCGGAUGUGGCGGAAUUGGUAGACGCGCACGGUUCAGGUCCGUGUGUCCCUCGGGACGUGGAGGUUCAAGUCCUCUCAUCCGCA
rnacentral:tRNA from 2 species